rnacentral:rRNA from 1 species
GACGGACCACACAAACGUUAUUCGGAAUUACUGGGCUUAAAGGGUGCGUAGGCUGUGCAGUAAGUUGGUGUGAAAUCCCUCGGCUCAACCGAGGAAUUGCGCCCAAAACUACUGUGCUCGAGGAAGACAGAGGUAAGCGGAACUUAGGGUGGAGCGGUGAAAUGCGUUGAUAUCCUAAGGAACACCGGUGGCGAAAGCGGCUACUGGGUCUU